AAGGCAACUUUUUGCCGAGUGAAUCGAACAUCGAUCUCUCUCUUUUUCCCAGUUGCCUAAAUCAUAUAAUGGUUGUGAGGAAUAACUUGAUCGAUUAAUUGUUUAUAAUAAUCGAUCUUUCUCUUUGCUACCACAUUA
rfam:Arabis alpina cultivar Pajares scaff_39294_1_contig_3, whole genome shotgun sequence.